UCCCUCGUGGCGCAAUUGGCUAGCGCGUCAGACUGUUACGAUUCACUUUGUUGAAGCAGGCAUCUGGAGGCUGUAAGUUCGACCCUUACCGAGGGAG